AGACAAAGUAAUAACAUAGUUAACAUAGUGUC
rnacentral:piRNA from 1 species